GGAAAUAUAUUAUCUAGAGUCCCGACCGGUACCCGUCCUACCUGAAACACCCUCAAAUUUUAUUCGAGGUGAACUCUCUCAAAUUCGAGGUAAACUCUCUCAAAUUCGCUAUCGGUGAAUACAUGUGAGUGGAGAAAAAAAAGCAAAAUGGGGGAUUGGGCUAAAAAGAAACUUAUGGAAUUUUUGUGACCUGUCAAAAAUGACAAACAAAUUUUGCAAAACAAAACAAUGGGUUUCGGAUUUUAAGAACCAAAAUUCUUUAUAAUGAAGGGGGUAUACAAGUUCAGUUCAUUGAAGUCAAAUUGCAGUGAAGAAGAUGCAACAAUCGAGUUAUUUUAUAGUCUGUCUUUUCAUUUUAGAUAUUGCCAUAAUGCAGGAAGCAAUUUCCCUUAUAUAAUAUUUCUCUUAACAAAAUAAUAUCAAUGUUUUUAACUACAGUUACUGCCCAUUGUUUUUGUAUGUACUUCUCAACUGCAAUAGCUGCCGCAGGUGUUGACGGCGGAGGUAUCACCAUCAAAACCAUUAGAAACUACACGACCAAGUCAAUGAUGCAAGUGGAAGUUUUGCCAUGUAAUAGUUGACCGCUGACGCCCUUCUCCAUCGAUUGUGUAAGUGUAAAGAGUACUACCAGUCUGCAGUUCUGCAAGAGACGCAAACUAAACAAGAAUACAAACGCAGGAAAACUCCAAAAAUGUCCAACCCUGACUGUGAGUUCAAAUUUUAAAUCUACAACGAAUCCAUUCAUUUUGCUCCUAAGGAUCGCACUGGCUUAACGGUGCCAAUCAUUCGGAGGCAAAUGAGCUGGCCCGACAAGUAUCCCCAAGAAGCCAAACAGAUUCAGAUCAGUCUCUCGGCAGCUACUGACGAUGUCGGCGAGUUGAAUCCAUCGAUUUUCACACAGAAAAUCAACAUCAAAAAAAUCACGACAAUUCAGCAGCGUCAUGGUCAACCUGCCGAUCAACCAUUCACAGUGAACAACCCCUAUUCGUAGCAGAAUGCAAACACAAUGUCAUCAAGCCGGAGUACCAUCCAGGAUCGAUCAAGUAUCGCAUUCAAUUGUUUGCUAACUAACAUGUGCCAGACGUUCUGCUUGUGCGUUGUGAAGAGCCACUGAAGCCUGGCACGUCCACUGAAUUGAUCCUCAAGCUUACUAACCCAACGAUGUACUAUAAGACCACAACCAUUAUGAAACUGCCAACCAAGGAAGAAGAACGGCGAAUGAUUACUUCGAAUAAAAGUUCAACGAAAGGAACCAAAAUUCACCACUUGGAGAAAGUCCAAUAACGUAACAAUCAAAUUGAACUUCACAUCUGAAGAAGGACUGAAACCAGGCGAUGAUGUUACCCUUAGUUUCUUGAUUAAAUAUACUUUUGUGAAUACAAACACACGCCCGAAAAGAAAGAACGUCAAAAACACGCAUUAUCAUCGAAAGUUUUUGUAAAAGUUGAAGCCUAGAUUUAUUUCUAUGUAUAUCUAGAAAAUAAUCUUUUUUGCAAAAAACUUGUUUAUUUAUUUUGAGCUAUAGUGUAAUUUUGUAUAUAUUGUAUAUUCUAUUGUUUCUUUGCUGACUAGGAUUAUUUUUAUUCAAAAUUAUUUAUGAUUUACUUUACUUAAUAAUAAAGGAAUUUGUUUUGAAUUCAAA